GGUUGCGUGCCUGAGUGGUUUAAGGGUGACGCAAAUAGAGCCUGAGGCCGCAGUUUGCGCUGCGAUGGCCGAGGGUGCCUGGGUUCGAAUCCCAGCGCAGCCG
rnacentral:tRNA from 1 species